rnacentral:snRNA from 1 species
CAGUAAAUUUGUCUAGCAGGCUUUCCAGUCUUCACUGGAAAGCCCCC